rnacentral:rRNA from 1 species
AUUGAACGCUGGCGGCAGGCCUAACACAUGCAAGUCGAGCGAGCGGCGGACGGGUGAGUAAUGUCUGGGAAACUGCCUGAUGGAGGGGGAUCACUACUGGAAACGGUAGCUAAUAACGCAUACAAUAAGAUGUGCUCAGAUGGGAUUAGCUAGUAGGUUGGGUAAUGGCUCACCUAGGCGACGAUCCCUAGCUGGUCUGAGAGGAUGACCAGCCACACUGGAACUGGGACACGGUCAAGACUCCUACGAGAGGCAGCAGUGGGGAAUAUUGCACAAUGGGCGCAAGCCUGAUGCAGCCAUGCCGCGUGUGUGAAGAAGGCCUUCGGGUUGUAAAGUACUUUCAGCGGGGAGGCGUUACCCGCAGAAGAAGCACCGGCUAACUCCGUGCCAGCAGCCGCGGUAAUAC